AGUGAACGCUGGCGGUAGGCCUAACACAUGCAAGUCGAACGGCAGCACCGUAAGAGCUUGCUCUUACGGGUGGCGAGUGGCGGACGGGUGAGGUAUACAUCGGAAUCUACUUUUUCGUGGGGGCUAACGUAGGGAAACUUACGCUAAUACAGCAUACGACCUACGGGUGAAAGCAGGGGAUCUUCUGACCUUGCGCGAGUGAAUGAGCCGAUGUCGGAUUAGCUAGUUGGCGGGGUAAAGGCCCACCACGGCGACAAUCCGUAGCGGGUCUGAGAGGGUGAUCAGCCACACUGGAACUGAGAAACGGCCCAGACUCCUACGGGAGGAAGCAGUGGGGAAUAUUGGACAAUGGGGGCAAGCCUGAUACAGCCAUACGGCGUGAGGGAAGAAGGCCUUCGGGUUGGAAAGCCAUUUUGUUGGGAAAGAAAAGCAGCAGGUUAAUACCCCGCGGUACUGACGGUACCGAAAGAAUAAGCACCGGCUAACUUCGUG
rnacentral:rRNA from 1 species